CUACGGGACGCUCCAGUGGGGAAUAUUGCACAAUGGAGGAAACUCUGAUGCAGCAACGCCGCGUGGAGGAUGACACUUUUCGGAGCGUAAACUCCUUUUAUAUAGGAAGAAGAUGACGGUACUAUAUGAAUAAGCGCCGGCUAACUCCGUGCCAGCAGCCGCGGUAAUACGGAGGGCGCAAGCGUUACUCGGAAUCACUGGGCGUAAAGAGCGUGUAGGCGGAUUAAAAAGUCAGAAGUGAAAUCCUAUAGCUUAACUAUAGAACUGCUUCUGAAACUCUUAAUCUAGAAUAUAGGAGAGGUAGAUGGAAUUUCUGGUGUAGGGGUAAAAUCCGUAGAGAUCAGAAGGAAUACCGAUUGCGAAGGCGAUCUACUAGAACAUUAUUGACGCUGAGACGCGAAAGCGUGGGGAGCAAACAGGAUUAGAUACCCUGGUAGUC
rnacentral:rRNA from 1 species